rnacentral:rRNA from 1 species
GACUAGAGGAUCGGUGGAGUUUUCGGAACUUCCGGUGUAGCAGUGAAAUGCGUUGAUAUCGGAAGGAACACCGAGAGCGAAGGCAGAAAACUAACCGAAGCCUGACGCUGAGGCACGACAGCUAGGGGAGCGAAGCAGAUUAGAGACCUGCGUAGUCCUAGCCGUAAACGCAUGGGUGCUAGUUGCCCCGACCUAGUCGAGGUGACGUAAGCUAACGCGUUAAGCACCCCGCCUGGGGAGUACGACCGCAAGGUUAAAACUCAAAGGAAUUGGCGGGGACCCGCACAACCGGUGGAGCAUGUGGUUUAAUUCGAGACGAAGCGAAAGACCUCACCACGGUUUGACAUCCCGACGUUUUAGUCUCCUGGAAACAGGGGGCGAUCCCUAAAGGAAGUCGGGAAAGCUGCUGCAUGGCUGUCGUCAGCUCGUACCGUGAGGUGUUCCCUUAAGUGGGGUAACGAGCGCAACCCUUAUCCCGAGUUAGAUUUGUCUCGGGAGACUGCCCUGCCUUUUGGCGGGGAGGAAGGAGAGGAUGACGUCAAGUCAGCACGGCGCUUAUGCCGUGGGCUACACACAUCCUACAAUGGCGAAUAACAACGAGUUGCAAGAGGGCGACCUUAAGCAAAUCUCUGAAAUUUCGCCCCAGUUGGAAUUGGAGUCUGCAACUCGACUCCAUGAACUCGGAAUCGGUAGUAAUCGCGGAUCAGCAGGCCGCGGUGAAUACGUUCUCGGGUCUUGCACACACCGCCCGUCAA